rnacentral:sRNA from 1 species
UGAAAUCAGCAACAAUCCAGCUAAUCAA